CUUCUUCCUCCUCCCCCCCCGGGGGCCGGGCCGGGGGUCUCCAAGGGGAGGGCGGACGGCCGAGCAGGGGGACCAGGCUGGGGUCACACGACGGGGGCGGCCCUGGGCCCUGGGCAGUAGCUGGGCAUCUUGGCACCCCCGUGCUGAACGGAGAAGGAGGGCAGCGGGAGAGAGAGUGGGAGGCAGUUACAGCCCCGAGGUGAGAAGUGGCUGAGAAUCCGCGUCAGGAGUCCCAGGUCCGAGAUGGAGUUGGCUCCAAGCUGGGGCAGCGGGGACUGCUCGAGAUGCUGCGCCGCGCGCAGAGGGACGUCCGGACUCCUGGCUCGCGUCGAGCUCGACAAGGACCGGAGUUGCGGACGAGGCGGGACGGCGAGGUGUCCUUGCGGGCGGCGCCUCCCCGGAGCUGGCAAUGCCCGGGCGCGGCGCUCGCAGAUUCUGCCUAAGCGGAGCCCAGCGGCACACGAGGCGAGGCAGCUAGGGCGGCUCGGCAGGGGUCCCGGCGUGGAAACCAAGCGGGCACCCUUUCCUCACGGCAGACUGGGAGCGACUGGGAGCUGUCCCGCUGGAUGUUCCUGCAGUCUAAACACUAGGAGAGAUGAGGACCACCACACCUCUACUUCGGGGAGGGAAAAGCAACCUUGA
rnacentral:lncRNA from 1 species